rnacentral:rRNA from 1 species
UACACACCGCCCGUCACACCAUGGGAGUGGGUUGCACCAGAAGUAGUUAGGCUAACCUUAGGGAGGCCGAUUACCACGGUGUGAUUCAUGACUGGGGUG